CUUUGUAGCCUAAAUAUCCUAAAGGCACCAGAUCCCAUCUGACCUUGGAAGCUUAGCAAUGCCAGACUUGGUUCGUACUUGGAUGGGAAACCACCAACAAAUCCCAAAUGCUGCAGCCU
rnacentral:rRNA from 1 species